GUUGCUGGGAGGGGCGGCGUCCGGGGCCGCAGCGGUGUCUCCCCGGGGAGGAGGAGCGCGGGGCUUUGUCCGUGCUCACCAAGAGGCAUAAAGGAGGGGAAAACCGCAAAGCAACUGAAAGCGACUCCGCUCCAACACCCCCUCCCCCUCCCGCCCAGGUGUCCCCGUAGUCUUGCGGGGCACCGCACACCACGAGCAGCAGCUCCCACGAGGACGGCAAUGGCUCCUCCACAGCCCCCCCAAACCCCUCACAUUUCAGCUCCCAAAGUCCCCACUUCCUUUUCAACAUCUCUUCCCACAUUUUCUUCCCCUCCUUCCUUCCAUCCCCACCCCCCUUUGAAGCAUCCCUCAGCUCAGACCUUCCCAGGCCACUCACAAACAACCCUUUACCACCACAUUUCUCCACGGGAUUUAUGUUUCAACACCAUCAUCCCAGAUAUUACCCUCUGAGGACACAGAUGAGAACGAAGUGAAGGACAGCUGUGACCCAAAAGCACCCCCAGGACACGAGUGCUGGGCACAGCACACACGCCCUGUCCUUCAGCAUUUCCCUUUGCUCCAUUCUCCCCAGCCUUAACCUAAAACCUUUAUUGUUCCGGGAUGACGUUAGGAUGUAUCGGUGUAGACAGAGCUGUCAGGAUUUCUGUUUUUUUCCCCAAAGCCGUGCCACAUUUCUCACCCUGAUGCUGAGGACAAAAGGACUGAGUCCCACACACACGGCUGUCUGCAGACGGGCAGCAAUAAAAGUUGAUUAUUAAUAAGCCACAUGGAUCCGGGCCAUGGCAGCUGCGACAUUGCUGGGAAGAGAUAAAGAAAAUUGCAGAGGUGGAGGGAAAACGUGCCAAGGGGGGGGACAAGUGUGUCCCCAGCAGAGAUCAACCGGACCCCAAGCACUGCAUGGUCCCGAGUUACGGAGGAGAAUGAGGACUGGAGACUUCCCAGCUCCCAUUCCUCCACACCAGGGCUGAAGAUUUGGGAUGUGGCGUUUCAAGGCUCAGGGAACACUCAGUGCGAACGCUUUGGGGACCGCUGGGCAGCCCAGUGCCCCCACAUUGCAGAACAUCCCCAGCAGUGUUGGGGAACGGGGCAGAGGGAAGGGCAAGAAAUUCCCAAUCUGUUCGGCUCCCAUUCUUGCCUCCCCUUUUGUUCCACUCGCCAUCUGUCCCGCAGCCCUGCACACCCCACACUCCCUCCACACAUGCUGUAAAUUAUCAAGCUGGGUUUUGUCUCUGCUUCUAAAGGCACAGUGUGCCCGGAGCCGUGCUGCAUCCCCAAGUGCCAGCCUUAGAGCUGUGAGGGCUGGCACUGCCGGGGGUCCUGCUGCUCCUUCCUGACUGCUGGGAUCUGGGGGGCGCACCCCUGCCGUGCUCUGCUCCUCGGGGAUUUGUAAGUGUGCCAUUCCCUCUCAGAGCCAUCCCCGGGGGAGGAGGGGUCCCAAUCCCUCUCUAGGGGAGCAGCACCCCAUCUGCUGUCCCAGCCUGGAUACGGCCUUUUAGCUCACAACAAAGCCACCAACCCGUCAGCAAGGGAGCAAGGGCAGCUGCUCCGCUUCAGCCCAGUCCUUCCCCUUCCCUGUUUUAUCUGGGGCUAUAAUAGACACAAACUCCCGGGUAAAAGGGCAUUGUCAGAGGGAAAAUGGGCCUCACCCUCCGUCUGGCAGCUGGGAGCCAGGGGACGGCGCAGGGCUCAGCGGCAUUGUUGCUGUUUCCAUAAGGCGUUUCCUGGUGUGUCCUGGAGGAGCAGUGCUGCACGCAGUGUCACCAAUCCCAGCUCACUCAGUGCAGCAGCUGCGUGGGCAGUGGGGCACAGAGAAAGCCCAACAUCCCCUGCGUGGCUCUGAACCCCCACCUGGCAGGGGAACCUUCAGGGACUCAGCAUCCCAGAUAAUGACCUGUGGGGAGCGGUGAUGCUCCCAUCCCAGGGCCGGCCAGACACCACAUCCCCACUGCUGCAGUCCCUCGGUGUGCUUUGGGAAUGGCACAGCCCUCAGGGACAGUGGCACAGCGUCCCCAGGGACAGCAGGGCACAGCUCUGUCCCUACGGUUCAUGCCCCACAAUGUGUUGGGACACUGCACUCCUCCCAUCUCGCAGAGCGGAGGACAGAAGAGUUCAGGACCAGGUUGCCCAGUGCCAACAGACUCCUCAAAUAACAGUAAUUACUAUUAGAAUAUUUAAUAAGAGCAGUAUGCAAAGCAGCAAGCUCUGCCCUGACCUGCAUGAUGCGGGGAGGCUGCUUUUCUCCCCAGCGCUCCCAGCCCUUCUCUUGGAAAACAAAAGGUGCAAAGUUCAGUGGUGCAUGAAAGAGAAACAAAACCCGGUCCCAGCCGCAGCCCCCCCACUCUCCCACCAGACAGAUGGCAGCAGUUGUCCCCGCACACCAGUUGCUCACUGUUGCCAAUAAGCCCCUUUAUCCCACAACAGGUUGUAAAUGAGAGCGUUGGAGCUCAGCAGCCACUGUCAUGGAGGGGCUGGAGUGGGGACAGAGACAGGAACGGGGAUGGGGACAGGGAUGGGGAUGGGAUGGGAUAGGGAUAGAGAUAGGGAUGGGGGUGGGGACAGGGACAGGAUGGAGAUGGGAUGGGGAUAGGGCAGGAAUGGGGACUGAAAUGGGGAUGGGGAUGGUUGCCCCCAUGGGAUGUGCAGUGGAAAACAAAAAAAGCAGCUCCAUGCUGCCUGCCCAUCUGUCAAGGCCCCACAUCCCAGGGGACACAGUGGGAGGGUGGCUGGGGCGAGGCAGCCCCCAGGAUCCCAUUCCCCUGUUUUUACCGAGGACCAGAAAGGGGUAUCUCCUCUGUGCUGGUGUCUGUAGGGCUGGUGGGGACACACAGGCUUAGGGUCAGGGCUGCAGGAAGCUCAGGCUCUGCUCUGCAGAUCGUGUGCAAGGAAGGGAGGAAAGGUCUGUCAGGACAAAGGGCAGGUGGGGAGCGUGGUACCCCAGCAGGAUCCGCUCUGCCAGCCCUGCUGAGGGGCAGAAACCAGCAGGGCAGGAACCCACACGCAGCACGAGAUGUGGGUUUGCCAGAGCUGGUGCUGCUGCAGCCCCUCCAACCACAGAAAGCACCGUGCUGUUGCUGGGCCAGGUGAGUGCAGUUUCUCCGGCUCUGGCAGAUCCUGGGAAGGUGGUUUGAGCUGCGCACACUGCAGGUGACGGCGUGCCCUGGGCAUCCCCUCCCAUCUCCAGGGCUGGGGCAGAGCUGCUGCAUUGCCCCAGAUACAGGCACCCACGCAGUGCUGAUUGGCCUCAGCUGAGCUGACAUCACCGCUCCCGUCCCAGUGGCAAACCCCGGGCAGGAAGCACCUGGAGGAGUCUGACCCCACGCCAUGUACUGGGGAGGGUGGAGGCUGGGUUUCACUUCUGCUGACGUUGCUUUUCUGACAGCCCCAACCCAGCAGGAAGGACAGGUGGGGCAGAGCAAAGGGCACCGGGCAGCACUCCGGCCCAGGACACGUCGGGGAUGAAUGCUGGUUUAUGCAACGUGCCAAUCGCUGAUGGCAGGGGGCACCGACCGACCUGGGCUCCUUGAAUCAGACGCUUCCAGCAGAAACAUCCAAAAUAAAAUAAAAGUAAAAAUCCCAGCAGAAAGCUUGACAGAAAGAGUGUCCAAAUGGCAUCAGGAGGUGGGGAAUGGUGGCUGUGCCUUUAUUUACUUCCAGUCUGUCCUGAAGUGGUCCCGGGGUGUCACUCUGCACCCCUCCCCACACCCCAGAGCUGAUCCUGAGGGACCGUGAUCCGACCAGAAGGAAAAUGACGAGCAAAAUAAAAAUAGGAGAU